AUUUUCUUAGUAUAAUUAAUACUAAUGAUUUCCAAUCAUUUUAUUCAAGAAUUACCCUUGAAGAAAAUA
rnacentral:tRNA from 1 species